UACGUAGGUGGCAAGCGUUGCCCGGAUUUACUGGGCGUAAAGCGUAUGCAGGCGGGUUUUUAAGUAGAAAGUGAAAGGUUGGGGCUCAACUCCAACACUGCUCUCUAUACUGGAAGCCUUGAGUGUCGGAGAGGAAGAGGGAACUGCACGUGUAGCGGUGAUAUGCGUUGAGAUGUGCAGGAACACCAAUGGCGAAAGCACUCUUCUGGACGAAUACUGACGCUGAGAUACGAAAGCCAAGGGAGCGAACAGG
rnacentral:rRNA from 1 species